rnacentral:lncRNA from 1 species
GGACUUUGGACUUGGCUCCGUUGCACCCCUGAACAGAGGAAGAGACUCACCUUGACACUAUGUCAUAAUCAGUAAGCAGGUUAUGGCAAUCGGGACUAUAACCAUAUUAACAGCACAGGCUAUUCCUUUACUUCAACCACGGUGCCUAUCUUUACUCGGUAUUAGGCUCCCUUCCUGAUGAGAUUUGACUCUGGGCAACAUUGAGUGGAACUUUCCUUAGCCCAGAAAAUAUAACUUGAGCUGGCAGUUCAGAAGUGUAUAGAGCAUACAAAAUCUAUUUACUGUUGAAGGUGCACAGGUUUUCAGUUAAUUCCCAAGUCACU